GGGGCGGGGGUGGCCGCGCGCGAGCGUUGCCCGCCCCGGGGGAGGCCGGGUCUGUCAGCAUGUCACCCUCCUCGGGUAGGGGGCGGGGGGCAGAGGGGAGCCCCCGCAUCGCCCCUCCCCCAGACACCGCUCCCUCGUGCCGCCCCCCCAAUACUACGUCCUAGCCUCCCCCGGCUGCUGGCUGCUUCCCUAUCCACCGCCUUGCCAAGCCCCGCUUCUGCGGGCCCGGCGUGUCCUCCUCGCCGCGUGUCUGGGGUGGGAAAUAAUGGGGGUCAUACAGAGCCGCGGGCGCGGGGGCUGCAGAGAGUCCCUGAAACAGAGGAUGGCCAUGGGGCAGGGGAGGUUGGAGGGAUGCAAGAAGCCCCCCCAGUGUGUGCGAAACGCUUGGCCUGCGUCAGCAGCAAAGCACCCGCCUAUCCUGGCCGGUCAGGGGCUGAUUUCCCAGCCCCUGAAAUGGUGCUAACACGCUUUGCGGGGCUGGGGGAUCCAUAUGUGCACACACGAUGCUGUGCAGGCAUGACGUGUUGCUGUGAUACUCAUGUAUAUCUGUGUGCACGGCCGGUUAGCUUGAGGUGUAUGACACCAAGGUUGCCUCUAACCAAACUCUCCCUGCAGGGAAAGCGCUGGCUCCAGAGAACUGAUUAUCAUACGAUGAGGUGUAAUGCCCUACCUGCAAAGUUCCUAUACUAUGAUGGAUCCAUCAAAGUUCAGAAGGAGCCAGUCAAGUGUCACCAGAAAGUGAGAACAGGCAUUUGCAUGACACUUUUGUAGCUAGUAUUACAAGAUUUCACAAAACACAAAGAAGGUACCAAUGUGAGAUUUCUAAAGAUAGCUACAGCACUCGACCCAGGGUUUAAGAAUCUGAAGUGCCUUCCAAAAUCUGAGAGGGACAAGGUGUGGAGCAUGCUUUCAGAAGUCUUAGAAGAGCAACACUCCGAUGCAGAAACUACAGAUCCUGAAACACCAAAAAAGAAAAUCAACCUUCUGCUGGUGGGAUCUGACUCAGAUAAUGAAAAUGAACAUCUGCUGGUCUGCACUGCUUUGGAUUGUUAUUGAACAGAACCCAUCAUCAGCAUGGACACAUGUCUCCUAGAAUGGUGGUUGAAGCAUGAAGGGACAUAUGAAUCUUUAGUGCAUCUGGCACGUAAAUAUCUUGCGAUGCUGGCUACAUCAGUCCCAUGCUCUUUUGAAAAUGAGGCCCUGCGUGAAGUGCAUGCAAUCUUGUAAAACAGCAGUUUGAAAUAAGGGCAGCAGUGAGGAUUUUCUUUUCCCUUUCAAAAAUGAAUGCUGCAAGAAAAAAAGAAGAAAAGAAAAAGAAAAGUGGACAGUGAGUGUCAGAUUUUCAACAAAGAAUGGAAUGCAAAAUAUUUUUUUACAAACAUGAACUCGAAGGCUGUAUGCCUGAUUUGUCAGGCGAGCAUCGCAGUGUUCAAGGAGCAUCGCAGUGUUCAAGUUUGAAUUGCCAUUUUUCAACAAAACAUCCUAAUAAUGGCAGCAAUUUAACAACUGAGCAAUGGGCAAGAAAAGCAGAGAAACUUGCCACGAACUUAAAAGCUCAGCUAAAUAUUUGUGCAACAGGGUACAGUUCAGGAAGCCACCUCAAAGGCAAGUUAUGUUCUGGCGUUUGAAAUCACUAAACAAAAUAAGCCUUUUGCUGAAAGAAUGCAUGGUUGAUGUUGCUGGCAUGCUAUGACUGGACUACCAAAACAAAUUUGAGAACAUUAGUUUGUCACAGACAAUUGUUACUCGCUGUGUAGAAGUGAUUGAUGAAUAUUUGGCUUCUGAGUUGAACAAGAAAGCCCAGGGCUUUACGUUGUUUUCGUUAGCUCUCAAUGACAGCACUGACAUUAAGGACACAGCACAAUUAUUGAUUUUUUUGUCAGAAGAAUUGAUGACAAAUUUGAAAUCACAGAGGAAUUUUUAUCAAUGGAAUCAAUGAAAGGCACAACUAAGGGAUCGGAUUUAUAUGAGAGGGUGUCUGGCUGCCUUGAACAUCUGAAGCUCCCCUGGAGUAAACUGACAAACGUAACCACAGAUGGAUCGCCAAAUUUAAUUGGGAAAAACGUAGGACUUUUAAAAAGAAUUCAGGACAAAGUAAAAGAAGAUGACCCUGAUAAAGAGGUGAUUUUUCUGCAUUGUAUUAUAUACAUCAGGAGGGCCUCUGCAAAAAUGUCCUGGACAUCGAUCAUGUUGUUCACACAAUAGUGAAAAUAGUGAAUUACAUAAGAGCGAGGGGACUUAAUCAUUGGCAAUUCAUUUCCCUUCUUGAAGACACUGAUGCCGAACACCAGGACUUACUUUAUCAUACAAAGAAAAGGAGUACUUGUGGCACCUUAGAGACUAACCAGUUUAUCAUACAAAUGUCCACUGGCUCAGCCUAGGAAAGGAAUUGCAGCAAUUUGGGAGUUCAGAGAUGAAAGUCGCAUUUUUCUGGAGAUGCAGGGGAAAGAAAAUGAUUUCCCUGAAUUAAAGAAUUCAAACUGGGUGUGCGACCUUGCUUUUGGUGGGGAUCUCUUGGCACAUUUAAAUGAACUUAAUGUGAAACGGCAAGGAAAGAAUGUGUUUGUACAUGAAUUGUAUUCUAGUGUGACAGUUUUCAAAGUCAAGUUAGUCUUGUUUUCAAAACAAAUUAAGGACAAAGUGUUCGCUCACUUUCCAACACUGAAAUACUUGGAAGUUUCGCCGGAGCAGACAGAAAAGUACAGCAAAAUAUUGAGUGACUUGCACGGAGAAUUUUCUUGUUGAUUCUCUGACUUUGAGAAGAUAGAGAAGAUGCUGGAGCUGGUAUCAUGCCCACUGUCAUUUGACUACGAGGGACCAACGCAAGAAUUACAGGUGGAGCUCAUUGAUCUCCAAUGCAAUUUCAACUUGAAGGAAAAGAACAAUUGAGAAAAACUGUAUGAGUUUUAUGUCCCCUUGAGUGAAACAAAGUUCCCAAAUAUCUGCAAGGUGUCACAGAAAAUCCUUGUUUUGUUCGGCUGUGUGUGCAAACAAACAUUUUCCCUGCUGAAUUACAACAAAUCUGCUUUGCAUUAUAUUCAGCAGUAAUGCAAGAAACCUACAGGCCUGUAUCCUGUAAAAGACAUUAGCUUUAGCAAGUUAGCAUAAGGCUUGAGGCCUAUGAACCUUGAACAGAUAAGCUUUGCAUAGAUAAACGGCCCAACGGAAAACCCAAAGUAUUUGGGGAGCUGAAAAUAGAGUUUAAGGGGAAGUUCUGACCACAGGUACAUGAGUCAACCACAGAAGUGUCCUGGCAAAGAACUGACGUACAUAACAGGUACAUGAAAUACGUCUAAGUCUAGCCUGCUUGCUCGCCUAUAUAUCUUUUCUUAUAAGUUUCUUAUUUUCUUAUGGGUUUGAUUAUUUGUUUUAUUAUUAUAGCUUUACAUUAGAGUAUAUUUUGGCUGUAACACAAGGGACCUGCAGGCCACAUCCUAUAUGUUGAGCUAAGACAAAGUUAGCAUACAUAAGUUUAGGACCUUUCACCUACAUCAGUGGUUCUCAAACUUUUGUACUGGUGACCCCUUUCACAUAGCAAGCCUCUGAGUGUGACCCCCCUUAUAAAUUAAAAACACUUUUAAAUAUAUUUAACACCAUUAUAAAUGCUGUAGGCAAAACGGGGUUUGGGGGAGGGAGGCUGACAGCUUGCGACCCCCCAUGUAAUAACCUCGUGACACCCUGAGGGGUCCUGACCCCCAGUUUGAGAGCCCCUGACCUAGAUAGAUGGUGAUAAGCUAAAGCAUAAGGUCCAUGUAUGGCUGUGACCUUUAACAUAGAGGAUGCAUUAAAGCAGGUUGGCAUAAGGGCUUUCCUAAGGUCAUACCCUUUUAAACUAAACAGGUACAUCACAAUUUGGAACUUGGAAAGAACCAAAAUAGCCAGUUAGGACAGAAAUAACAAAUGUGAUACCUAAUCACAAAAGGGCCAUGGUAUCAAAUUGAUGCAUGUGAUAAUAAGUUGAGAUCACUGAUAUACUAAGCUAUAGAAAAAAGACACUCCAACGUUAGUAAGGUGAGGAAAUACAAAUAAGGAAGGGGAAAAUCCCUUACAACAAUGCAUCAAACAUAGCGGCAUCAACGUAACAUAUUAUAAAAGUGGCAUCCCAGCCUAGGGGCAGAAGAGAGAGAAAGAUGUAGUCCUUGGGAGGUGCCAGAAUGAUGGCCCCUGGUGAUGAUGGGGAAGGUGAUGUGAUACUUAUAAGAAGCACACAGGAUCUUUUAUAAGAGAGAAGGCAAAUAUGCCGUAUUCAUUGAGAAUACAAAAGUUAGCAUAUGCUUUUCAGUCACACACACGUACACAUCAUGCAAACAGUCCUGCCAGUUGAUGUUUUUAUAGUUACCAGUCUGUUGUAGCUCGAGUCAAUCUAAUGGCCAGUUAGAUUGAACACGAGUGAGGAGCUGGGCUCUGUCAAUCGCGAUCCGAUGCUCCGAGGUUUUGGCAGGACUGAACCCAGAGUUUCAUGGCAAAACACUCCAGCUUUAUACUUGUAAAUUCCCAUUUGAGUCCAUCAAUUUUGCAAUGUCAUCCUGUAAUCAUUAGUCCUUAAGUGGUAGUAAUCUUGGGGUUUUCCACUGUUAUCAUUUGAUGAAAAGAAGAGGAAUACUUGUGGCACUUUAGAGACUAACAAAUUUAUUUGAGCAUCCAAUGAAGUGAGCUGUAGCGAAAGCUUAUGCUCAAAUAAACUUGUUAGUCCCUAAGGUGCCACAAUUACUCCUUUUCUUUUUGCGAAUACAGACUAACACAGCUGCUACUCUGAAACCUAUCAUUUGAUGGUUAUUGUCAGACUUCCCAUCAUUAUCUCCUAUUUGUUGCCUUGCCUUCCGGGGCGGUUGCUUCACCUCUGAGGCCAUCAAUGCUGCUAACAUGUUUAGCAUCGGAUACAAUGGAUGUUUUCUGAUUGUCUCCUGGUGUUUCCAAGUCUCUCACUUUUCUUGACGAUCUGGACAUUUGUGAUGGGUUUCACACCUUAUCUUUUCCUGAUGCAUGCAUUCCUCAUUCACACAAACAAUCUCUCACAGAGAAGACAGCAGUAUUUUAUACAGUAGAAUACAUUGUAAAUUAAACUUCACUUAAAUCUUGUGGUCAAAACAGUUUACAUUUUUCAGAGUAGCAGCCGUGUUAGUCUGUAUCGGCAAAAAGAAAAGGAGUACUUGUGGCACCUUAGAGACUUUAGAGAAUUUAUUUGAGCAUAAACUUUCGUGAGCUACAGCUCACUUCAUCGGAUGCAUGCAGUGGAAAAUACAGUAGGGAGAUUUUAUAUACACAGAGAACAUGAAACAAUGGGUGUUACCAUACACACUGUAAGGAGAGUGAUCAGGUAAGGUGAGCUAUUACUAGCUAUUAUCAGGAGAGAAAAAAAAACCUUUUGUAGUGAUAAUCAAGGUGGGCCAUUUCCAGCAGUUUACAUUGUGGCUCAGGCCUUUAACAUUCGUUUAAUCUAAUUAACACAGACACAAUACAAGAUCCUGUCUUUUACUCAAAAAGAAAAGGAGUACUUGUGGCACCUUAGAGACUAACCAAUUUAUUUGAGCAUAAGCUUUCGUGAGCUACAGCUCACUUCAUCGGAUGCAUACUGUGGAAAGUGUAGAAGAUCUUUUAUACACACAAAGCAUGAAAAAAUACCUCCCCCCACCCCACUCUCCUGCUGGCAAUAGCUUAUCUAAAGUGAUCACUCUCCUUACAAUGUGUAUGAUAAUCAAGUUGGGCUAACACGGCUGUUACUCUGAAACCUGUCUUUUACUCACUAAACCUUAAACCAAAGAAAUGACUAGAGGGAAGUUUAUAAUGCAUAUAGGAAACAAGAUCCCAGUCUCAUUCCUUUCUGUUAUUCAGAAAGGGUGGCUGGCAGAAUUAAUUCAAAGUUUACAUCAAUUUUUAUAGUACAGUUAUAAAAUCCUGUCCCUACAGUGAUGAUGAUGAGAAAGAUGAUGGCUAACAUUUCAGGUUGUUCUACAGGAGAUGGUAUGAGUAUAUGGAUGUGCAGAUGUACAUUCUGUAGUAUCUCUAUCUAUUUUACUAAGUUGGGGUGUUUGUGACUGUGUUAAAUGUAUUAAACUAUAUUUGUAAAUAUAAAAGAGUUCCUAUAGUGUGAGUCUUGUAACUGUACACAUCGGGGUUCCCAACUAUAUAAUAAUUUGAAUAAUACUGGCCUUGAUCUUGGGGCAAGAACCUGGCAACCCUAAAAGUGAUAACUGGGGAUUCUUAAGUAAUCAAUAUAAUUAAUACAUAAGCUAAAGGUCAGGCAAAAAGAUGCACAUCUCUCUCCCUCCUAACCAGGGUUUUUCCAGGCUGCGCGUUUCCCUGCCUAUGCUGUGAUAUCAACAGCAAGCUAGACUGCCUCUCUCUAAAAAUCCCCAGGAAAACCCGUCAGUAUGGUUUGUCCCAUCAAUACUGUCUGUCCCAAAAGUCCAUUGUUGUCUCCCCCAGUCUGAAGUUCAUAACAUUUCCUACAGUUUACAAUAAUACAUAAACUUUGUAGUCAAUACAGAGGAUUCCAAAGUUACUUAAACUUAAUUCAAUAAAGUUUGUAAAGAUAUUGGCAGAAAAUUGUCAUAUCUGUCACAAUUCAGAUCCCCUCUUUGUAGCACACACACAGUGUGAAAACCCCUAGUUGUGAUCUUUCACUUCUUUACAAGACCUUGUUAGGGAUCUUAAAUAGCACAAAGAACCUUGAUAGGGCAUUCUCCAUAGGUGGACUUCACUCUUCCUGUAGACAGAAAGCAACAUUACUCUCUCCUUGUAUCCGAUGAAGUGGGCUGUAGCCCACAAAAGCUUAUGCUCAAAUAAAUUUGUUAGUCUGUAAGGUGCCACAAGUACUCCUGUUCUCUCUCCUUUCUGGGGUUUAAAAAAUAAAAAUCUGAUCAUUUGUCCAGGCCUCAUGCAUAGAAAAGUUUACUGAUCCUGCAAGCGUUUGUAUUGUUCUUUCCCAAGAAUUUUUUUGUCCAGGCACCUCAAUAUCUGUGCUACUGUUAACUACGUAAAAACUCCUUAAUUUCACAAAUGUAAUGUUAAUAUUUGAGCCUGUCAUAAAUAUAAAGGGAAGGGUAACCACCUUUCUGAUUACCAUGCUAUAAAAUCCCUCCUGGCCAGAGGCAAAAUCCUUUUACCUGUAAAGGGUUAAGAAGCUCAGGUAACCUGGCACCUGACCCAAAAUGACCAAUGAGGGGACAAGAUACUUUCAAAUCUGGAGGGGGGGAAAAGGCUUUUGUCUGUCUGUGCGAUACCUUUGCCGGGAACAGAUCAAGGAUGCAAGCCCUCCAACUCCUGUAAAGUUAGUAAGUAAUCUAGCUAGAAAAUGCAUUAGGUUUUCUUUGUUUUGGCUUGUAAAAUUUGCUGUGCUGGAGGAAAUGUUUAUUUGUUUUUGUCCUGUUUUUGUGUCUUUUUGUACCUUAAGGUUUUGCCUAGAGGGAUUCUCUAUGUUUUGAAUCCGACUGUCUGUAAGAUUAACUUCCAUUCUGAUCUUACAGAGUUGUUCUCUUAUCUUUUUUUU